CAUCGUCACCUCAUCAUACUGCAGUGGGAAUGAGGUCCUGGCCCUGCUCUUGGCCAAGGUGAAAAAGUGCCAUUGAAUGCCUCAAGAAGAAGAACAAUCCAGCCAUCCUCUUCCUGCAACUACGUUGCUGGUUAAAUGCAAGAGUCAAGCCUUUGGAGAAGACCUGGAAGCUCUUAAUGAUUUGACUGAAACACCCUCACAUGACUGUUCAUGAGCUGAACAGAAAGGGCCUUCUCCAUAUGUGUGAGAAUGACAUGGUGAUUAUGAGCCUUGAGGAGCUCUGCCACACAAUCCUCGAUGGGCUCUGCAAGGUCCAGCCCUGACAUUAUCUUGGAGUUCUUGGGUUUGGCGGACCAGCUUGGCUUCCAAAUGCAGGAUGUUUGAAGACCCCUGAAUGCCUCCUUGG